rnacentral:tRNA from 1 species
GCCAGUGUGGCAUAGUGCUUCGCGUGUUGGACUACGACUCUGGAGAUCAGGGUUCGAUUCCCAGCUCAGCCA